AUGAUAGCGCGUGCUUUUCUUGUUAAGAGUCGCGAAGGGGAGCUCAAAUACAAAUUAUACUUUGAUAAACAUCACCCUAAGACUAUUACUUUGCCUGCCCCUUCUUUGUUUAACUUAUCUGCAGGUCCUCACAUUGUUCUGUGGUCGGCUGUUCAAGCCUAUCGGAAUCCUGCACCAGCCCCAGAACCGGAGCCACAAGAUGAGCCUCCACGUCUAUCUGUUUAUUCUUGGGAUCCAGAGGAAGUUGCCAGCCAGUGGCAGCCGGAGCCUUCUUCAUCACAGUAUGACCCCAGCUUCACCUACGGAUAUCCGCCAGGCUAUCCCUGGCAAUAG
rnacentral:rRNA from 1 species